AUAUAGAAAAUUGUAUCAUAAAUGUAAAACAACCAAUAUCUUACAGUAGACUCCAUGUCUCUGUUUAACCCUAAGGUCCAAAAAUCUGCACGGGUCAGGCAUGCCUUUGCUGUUCGAAUAAUCAGCUCCUUUGCAGGCUUCUCUAUGUCCAGUAUGUAGUUGAGCUAAUAAAAUUGCAAUAUUUGGAAAUGCAAGGUUAAACACAAACUUAUGCAGAUUUGUUGUAUUGUUGAUCUUAUGAAACUAACCAGUUCUUUCUGAGCUGAAUGGUAUGUUAAAAACCACGAUGCUCUGCAGGCAGUAAUGUUUUUGCAGUUUGUGACUUCUUCGCAUUGGGGUCCACGCUCUUCAAGAAGGGUCUGGCUGCAGACACAUCUCAGAAAUGCAUGCACACUCAGAUACAUGCAGUCUCAGCCGCACUUGCGCAGUCCGACACGCGUUCUCAGCAGCUUGUGGACACUCAGAUACAUGCGCUUUCAGACGCACGCGUUUUAAUGCACCUACAGGCCACUUGUAAGAAUAUUUAUGCAAUUCGUACAAGAUUAAGUUAAAGUAAAAGAGUUGUUCAUUAUUUGGUAGAUCCUGAUAUUUAUCUGGUAUAUCCCACAUGCAGAGGUGUCGACGUUAUGCACGCGUUUUAGAGGAUUCGACGACCAUUAAAUAAUCGAUGUAAGUAUAUUUACCUCAUUCAUACAAGAUUAGCUAGAUGUAAAAGUGUUGUUUUAAUCUAUAAGAUAAUGACCCUAUUGGAGAAAACAACUACUUUAUCAAUAAUAUGGCUCCCUCGACACACAUUUUCAUUAUGCGGAACAUUAUCCAUCACAAAAAUGCAUCAACAAACCAGAAGAUGUUGGAGGGACAGCUACAGCGUGGUCACAUACCUCACAGCAUUGAAAAUGUGGUCCUCUCUGACUUGGGACAAGCAAUUUUAACCCCAUGUUCCACUGACAAGCAAAUUUCUCCUGGCUUGGGGUUAGGACCUGAGCAUGAGUUGAGGACAAUGAACAGUGCAAUUGUCACAGACCCGCCAGGCUCAUCCGUCAGCCAAUCAGAGCGCACUCCUUCACCCUGAGUACUAACCACGCGCACCUGAUCCCCAUCACCACACAAUCACCGCCAGACACUUAAGCACAGCACUCACCUCAGUUCACUGUCCGGUCUCGACUGACACAAGGACUGCUACUCCCAUGCUCUUGCAUUGUGAGGAAUACUUACCUGGUUUAUCUCAGCGAUUCUCCUGGUCUCUGUGUAAAGUGUCUGCGUGUGUGUUCUCCUACCGUUCCUGUUUGGUCUGUCUACCUCUGCACCAGCCAUCCGCCACGAGUCACUCACCUGCAAAGGAAAAGGACAGUAUUACCAUUCUUAUCUACCAUCACAAGUAUCUACUUCACAGUCACUUACCUGUUCAUCUGUUUAUCCUACGCUGUUGUUCAAUAAAGUCACUCAUCAUUACUAACCUGUUGUCUCCCACUCCUCUGUCCGUAACAGCAAUAGGGCCUGGCUGCACAGCAGCUCUAGAAGAAAAUGGUGUCUUGUCCAGCUUAAGUAAAUUCAGUAUUGAUUCAUCCCUUUGUAAAAAUCAAUAGUUAUUAAUAUAGUUAAUUUAUCUAUACAUCGGCUCUGGAGAAAACAGUGAUUUCAUCAUCCAUCUCAGUUUAGUUCACGUACAAUAGUGUCAAUGCGGGCAGAUCAAAAACAUUGUUGAAUAUCAAGUGUCCCCAACUAAGCAAGCCAGAGGCAACAGCGGCAAGGAAACCAAACUCCAACAGGUGACAAAAUGGAGAAAAAAACCUUGGGAGAAACCAGGCUCGGUCGGAGGGCCAGUUCUCCUCUGGCCAACAUCAAACAAUGCAUGAUUUUUGGUUACAGGUCAUAAGUCAGAUUGGGAUCACAACAGUCAAAAUAUUUAAUCCAGUUGAAGUACAGAUUCAUCACGCUGGUAUGGAAACAGUUUGUUGGGGAUCUGUGCCACUGGCUGUCGUGUCGAUGAGGCCUUCACAGGGGAUGAUCUAGUUGACACAAUCUCUGCUGACACUUCAGGGAUGCGUUGUGGUACCUAGGCGCAGGUCCUCUAUCUGAUCUGGAUACGGCCCAGAUCCGAUUGACUACAGAUCUGAUUGAUAAACAGAGAGACUAAUAUUAGCGUAGAUUCUAUUUGUCUUAUGAUGUAACAAUCGGGUGUUAUAGGAAAUGUUCCCGGUUCCGGCUGAUCUAGUCUCAACUUUAAAAUUCUGUAAGUUUUAUUAUGAAAUUCAAACAAUAAAUACCGUUUUGGCGUUCUUUAAUGUGACAUGACAGAUCACUGUAUCGCCUCAGAUCAAGGGGCACGUGAACUGCAUGUUGAAAGGACCAAUAGCCUACAACUUACUGAAAUGAAUCAUGUCUCAUAUAAUCGCUCAGUGCUUCAACCGUGGAUGUCAAUAAAAAAACAAUGUCUCGUAACAUUACAUUUACUUUAGAAAAGCCAUUCAGUGUCCAUAAAUGCUAAAGCGAGAAAAAUGCACUCUACUGAGCUCUUUAAUAGUUAUUAUUAUACUGUCAUU